AUUGAACGCUGGCGGCAGGCCUAACACAUGCAAGUCGAGCGAGCGGCGGACGGGUGAGUAAUGUAUGGGGACUGCCCGAUAGAGGGGGAUAACUACUGGAAACGGUGACUAAUACCGCAUACUAGCGGAUAACCCAUAUGGGAUUAGCUAGUAGGUGGGGUAAAGGCUAACCUAGGCGACGAUAUCCAGAUGGUCGGAGAGGCUGAUCAGCCACAUGGGGACUGUGACACGGCCCAGACUCUGAUGGAGGCAGCAGGGGGGAAUAUUGCACAAUGGGCGCAAGCCUGAUGCAGCCAUGCCGCGUGUAUGAAGAAGGCCUUAGGGUUGUAAAGUACUUUCAUCGGGGAGGCGUUACCCGCAGAAGAAGCACCGGCUAACUCCGUGCCAGCAGCCGCGGUAAUUC
rnacentral:rRNA from 1 species